rnacentral:rRNA from 1 species
ACCUGGUUGAUCCUGCCAGUAGUCAUAUGCUUGUCUCAAAGAUUAAGCCAUGCAUGUCUAAGUAUAAGCGUUAUACUGUGAAACUGCGAAUGGCUCAUUAAAUCAGCAAUAGUUUCUUUGGUGGUGUUUACUACAUGGAUAACCGUAGUAAUUCUAGAGCUAAUACAUGCGUAAAUCCCGACUUCGGAAGGGACGUAUUUAUUAGAUAAAGACCGACCUCGUUCUGCGGUGAAUCAUGAUAACUUCACGGACCGCAUGGCCUCGCGCCGGCGGUGUUCCAUUCAAAUUUCUGCCCUAUCAACUUUCGACGGUAGGAUAGAGGCCUACCGUGGUGUUCACGGGUGACGGAGAAUUAGGGUUCGAUUCCGGAGAGGGAGCCUGAGAAACGGCUACCACAUCCAAGGAAGGCAGCAGGCGCGCAAAUUACCCACUCCCUGAACGGGGAGGUAGUGACGAUAAAUAACGAUGCAGAACUCUUUCCGAGGCUCUGCAAUCGGAAUGGGUACACUCUAAACACUUUAACGAGUAUCCACUGGAGGGCAAGUCUGGUGCCAGCAGCCGCGGUAAUUCCAGCUCCAGUAGCGUAUAUUAAAGUUGUUGCGGUUAAAAAGCUCGUAGUUGGAUCUGUGUUUCGAGCCGUCGGUUCGCCGCCCGUCGGCGUUUAACUGACGCGUCUUCGAAACGUCCUGCCGGUUGGCGGUCGGUCGCGCGUCUUGCCCUCGCCGUCCGAAAGGUCGGAAUCACGGGGGUAUUAAAAAGGCGGUCAUGCGACGCGCCAGUGUCGAUCACCCGUUCCCGAUGCUCUUUAUUGAGUGUCGAGGCGGGCCGGCACGUUUACUUUGAAUCAAACUGGGUGCUCAAGGCAGGCAAAUUAAUUUACCGCCCGAAAGAACUUGCAUGGAAUAAUGGAAUAGGACCUCGGUUCUAUUUUGUUGGUUUUCGGAACCCCGAGGUAAUGAUAAAUGGGGACUGACGGGGGCAUUAGUAUUGCGGCGUUAGAGGUGAAAUUCUUGGAUCGUCGCAAGACUACCUAAAGCGAAAGCAUUUGCCAAGGAUGUUUUCAUUAAUCAAGAACGAAAGUUGGGGGCUCGAAGAUGAUUAGAUACCAUCCUAGUCUCAACCAUAAACGAUGCCGACUAGGGAUUGGCGGAUGUUAAUUGAUGACUCCGCCAGCACCUUAUGAGAAAUCAAAGUUUUUGGGUUCCGGGGGGAGUAUGGUCGCAAGGCUGAAACUUAAAGGAAUUGACGGAAGGGCACCACCAGGAGUGGAGCUUGCGGCUUAAUUUGACUCAACACGGGAAAACUUACCAGG